UUCAAGCUGAAGAGAUUUUUUGAAACUUCAAGAAAAAGAAGAAGAAAAAAAACGACACUUCUGUAAUCAUUGCUCUAUAUUUUUUUACUUUGACUAGAUCUGGGUACUGUUGUUUUUUCUUUUUUCCUUUUUUUUCUUUCUUUUUUUCGAAUGAAAGUAAGGGAAUUUUGAGAGGUACAUGAAACAUGGUUAUCAAAUUUCCUAUUAUUGGAGCUAUUUGUUGAUUCAAGGCCUUACUGUAGUGUAAACUCCAUUUUUGCUGACUAAAAACAACACGAGUAUUGACGUUGUACUGGUUAAAAUCUGUUAAAACAUGCGAGGAACAACUGUUAAAUGUGCCUUUCGAGCUGUGCGCUGAUGACAGAUUGAUGGAGUACAUAGUAUCUGGGCCUGGCUAUUUUCUUGGCCGCGUUUUUCUAAAUUGAAAGGAUAAUAUCUCUCUGAGAUGAUGCCAAUUCUAUUUCUAGUCUCACUGGGGAACCUGGGACCCUAAUUUCUGAAAUUCUUCACUAUGACCCUGAAGCUUUCAGUUGCUCCUGUCCAGGUUUCAUUAAGAAGCAGAGUCAUCAUAACUUGCCAUCUGAAGGGAAAACCUUGGAGGAAAAGGUUAAAACUGCUGUCCUGGAAGAAAGAUUUUCAAAAGGGCCUCAGCACCAAUCAGAUGGGCUUAUUAAUGUAUGCAAUUCCUGUUUGACGAUACUUUAUGCUUGAUGUUUUGUUCUCAGUUGCCCUGUUUCUCUGCAUAAUUGGAGUCAAAGCUUGAUUUAGGCAAAAUUUUCAGUCAUGUAAUUCAUGGAUGUUAUAUCUUCAUGUUUUACUUUUCUUAAAAACCUAAUUAGAUAAAGGAAAAAAAUUACUCUUGUUGAAGGGUAUUUGGUUUCCGUUCCAUGCAUUUCUGCAGGAAGUUCAUGAGAGCAUCGUAAUUUCAUUAACUAUAAUUUAUGCGACGUGUUCUCUACAUAAAUGUUGCUACACUAUAAACAGUCGAUUGCCAAUUUUUAGCAUGUGUACUAAUAAAUUUCAGACCAAUGUCAAUGACCUCAAUGAUUGGGUUUUGCCUUCA